UACAGAGGUCCCAAGCGUUGUUCGGAUUCACUGGGUCGUAAAGGGUGCGUAGGCGGUCAGGUAAGUCUGAUGUGAAUCUCUGGGCUUAACCCAGAAUGGCAUUGGGUACUAUUUGGCUUGAGAGUUGGAGGGGGGACGUGGAAUUCUUGGUGUAGCAGUGAAAUGCGUAGAUAUCAAGAGGAACACCAGUGGCGAAGGCGAGUCCCUGGACAACUUCUGGACGCUGAGGCACGAAAGCUAGGGGAGCAAACAGG
rnacentral:rRNA from 1 species